GUGCUCGCUUCGGCAGCACACACACUAAAGUUGGAACGACACAGAAAACAUUAGCCUGGUCCCUGCGCAAGGAUGUCACGCAAAUUCAUGGAGCAUCCCAUAUUGUU